rnacentral:rRNA from 1 species
AUUGAACGCUGGCGGCAUGCUUUACACAUGCAAGUCGAACGGUAACAGGCCGCAAGGUGCUGACGAGUGGCGAACGGGUGAGUAAUGCAUCGGAACGUGCCCAGUCGUGGGGGAUAACGCAGCGAAAGCUGUGCUAAUACCGCAUACGAUCUAUGGAUGAAGGCGGGGGACCGUAAGGCCUCGCUCGAUUGGAGCGGCCGAUGUCAGAUUAGGUAGUUGGUGGGGUAAAGGCUCACCAAGCCAACGAUCCGUAGCUGGUCUGAGAGGACGACCAGCCACACUGGGACUGAGACACGGCCCAGACUCCUACGGGAGGCAGCAGUGGGGAAUUUUGGACAAUGGGCGCAAGCCUGAUCAAGCAAUGCCGCGUGCAGGAAGAAGGCCUUCGGGUUGUAAACUGCUUUUGUACGGAACGAAACGGCGAGCUCUAAUACAGUUUGCUAAUGACGGUACCGUAAGAAUAAGCACCGGCUAACUACGUGCCAGCAGCCGCGGUAACAC